rnacentral:rRNA from 1 species
GACGAACGCUGGCGGCGCGCUUAACACAUGCAAGUCGAACGGAAAAGCCCUGCCUUUGUCGUGUGCGCGAGUGGCGAACGGGUGUGUAACACGUGAGUAACCUGCCCCGUACGUUGGGAUAACUUCAGGAAACUGGAGCUAAUACCGGAUGGGAGCACCAGCUGCAUGGAGGGGGUUGGAAAGUGUCGGCGGGUGGGGAUGGACUCGCGGCUUAUCAGAUUGUUGGUGGGGUAGUGUAUUACCAAGGCUUUGACGGGUAGCGGGCCUGAGAGGGUGACCGGCCACAUUGGGACUGAGCUAAGGACCAGACUCAUCCGGGAGGCGACGGUGGAGAAUGUUGUACAAUGGGAGGAAGGCAAAUGCAGCACAGCCGCGUGGGGUAAACCGGCCUUCGGGUUGAGAAGCGAAUUCGCCUGAUAUGAAGCGUGAGUGACGGUAAUGGGUAAAGAAGCCCCGGCUAACUACGUG